GAUGAACGCUAGCGGCAGGCUUAACACAUGCAAGUCGAGGGGCAGCACGUCUUCGGAUGGUGGCGACCGGCGCACGGGUGCGUAACGCGUAUACAAUCUACCUUUUACAGGGGCAUAGCCCGGGGAAACCCGGAUUAAUAUCCCAUAGUAUGUAGGGAUGGCAUCAUCUCUUUAUUAAAGUUUCGGCGGUAAAAGAUGAGUAUGCGUCCUAUUAGCUAGAUGGUAAGGUAACGGCUUACCAUGGCUACGAUAGGUAGGGGUCCUGAGAGGGAGAUCCCCCACACUGGUACUGAGACACGGACCAGACUCCUACGGGAGGCAGCAGUGAGGAAUAUUGGACAAUGGGCGAGAGCCUGAUCCAGCCAUGCCGCGUGCAGGAAGACUGCCCUAUGGGUUGUAAACUGCUUUUAUACGGGAAGAAACACCCCCUCGUGAGGGGGCUUGACGGUACCGUAUGAAUAAGGAUCGGCUAACUCCGUGCCAGCAGCCGCGGUAAUACGGAGGAU
rnacentral:rRNA from 1 species